UCAUACGCUGGCGCAGAGUACGCCCGGUACUCUACCGGCGACGAAUCAAAACACCGGUACGCCAUCGGUACUCCACCGUUACGCUACCGGUAACCUAAGCUAAGUUUCUCGCAUCGAUAGCUUUUUCCAUCCAUUACGUGUUCUGUCGCAAUGACAGAUUUUCUUUUUAAGAAAAAAUCAAGAACGUAUUGUGUUUUUGAAGUUUUACACCCGUAUUCUUUAAUAAACAGUUAAAGGAAAUUAACAAAAUCGUUAUUUCUAAGAAUAUAUGGACAUUGGAAAUAUCAAGAAAUUCAAGAAAUCUUUUCUUUUUCCAAAAAUUUCUGUUGUUAUUUUUGUAGUGUGUGUUAAAGAUGUUCAAGAAUUUGUUUUUACUUUUUUUUUAAGGGAGAUGGGGGACAUUAAGCAAAUGCAUGUGCCUGUUUACCAUGUAUGAUUUUUCACAAGGGUUGUUGGGGUGUUAGUUUUCACCAGGGUUGUAGAGUAAUUGAAUGGAAAGAAGUGGAAUUGUUCUUGAAGUCUCCACUCACACAUAGUGUAUUGAUGUUCUUGAUGCUGACAUCAUCUUUCUAUUCUAUUCAUGCUGCUGUACAUAAUUUCUUUUGCCCAACAAUUAUGAUGUUCAUAACUUGGAAUGGUUGUUGUAGUGUACAGGAUUGCAUGCAUUACUCAAUUGAUAGGCUGUUUUGCGGUUUUUGUUCAUUAGUGUCUUUCGAUAUAAUUUUGUGGUUAUACUAUGUUCUGAUUGGUCUUUUGUUUGCAUAUAUAAUCUGGAAGCCCAUUGAGGGUUGAGGGUUUUGCAUUCGCUGAAAGAGUCUACUAAGAAUCUCCCUUGUGCAUUCCAGUGUCGCCUUCAAAAUUGUUGACAUUCAAAGUGAGGAUGACCUACUUUGUACACGUGCUUCUCCUUCUCCGUUGCCGCUAUUGUCUAGUGGGAUUUGCAUUCCUCUGAGUUCCCUUAACAAAUUAAAUUUAACAAUGGUUUAUUCAAGCUCUCAGUAUACAUAUCAGGUGUUGAUGUUUACAUAGUGAAUGUGUACAUGCCCAAAUCGAUGGAUAAGAGAUGUGAUAAGUUUUUUUUUUUUACACUUUCUUUCUUUGACAACCGCUGCUUGAUCUUCAGAUUUGGUUAAAAUUUACUAUAAUCUGUAGACCAUGUUCCCAGGGUUCAAAAGCACUAUGGGUAGCAGGCGUCUUGGAUCAAGAAGAACAUAUUUUCAAGUCAAAGAUUCUAAAUUUGGUAGUUGUUACUAAAACUCACGGGAGGCCGUAUGGAUAUCGAUAACAUUUGAAGGACGACAAGUGUUUGUACCUUGGAAAUGAUGAUUGUAGACUAAAUGUUGGUACAACAUGUAAUUAUGUGCAAGGCUACCUGCUAUUUUUGAAAUCUUAUGAUACGCUGUCCCUUUGACAUUGAGUUGAUAAAUAAGGAGUAGCAUCUAUAUCUGGAUUACUUAGAAGUGCUUUAAACCAGUUUUUACUCUGGUUUUGGAUUACUUUUGCAGUGGGUUAGAUUCCCACAUUGUUUGGAGAAUGAAAAUCCAGAAACUCUGCGCACCCCCUUACAUCUAAUGUUUUACCUACAGAGGAUGAUUUCCUGGGUAACAAAUUCAGUGCUUCAGCUAGCUCGGUUCUGGAUGGGAGGAGUCUUAAACAAUUGUAGCUGGCAGAUCAACAGAGGAUGCCUCAUUUAGGGAGUCUCUUGAACUUCAUAAGAUUCAGAUGUGAUGCAUGUGAGAUUGAAAUCAUUUAUGUGGAGCUGUUCUUCUGCAAAGAAGCCUGAUUCGAUCAUCUUAUGGAUUUCUUUAAACAGAUUGCUGAAAAAUAUGGUUCUGGCUACCAUCUUUUAGUCGAGACUGUCUCCUCUGCCACCCUAUCCUGAGUACGCUAUUGUUAAAUCUAACUAUGAGCAUGAAUUUAAUAUGUUUUGGUUUGGUUAAAGCAGGACUUGAUUCUGAUUCACAAGUUGCUGACAUCUGUCCCACUUCAUGCGAAAUGGAGAGUGUCGUAGGGUGCUUUAUCUUUUGUUCCAUCACUUUGUGAUCGUCUGGUAGUGUAUAAUCUUAUGUAGAAACAGUGGCUCAUGACAAAAUAAACAUGAGUGAAUUCAUUUUGAAGAACUGCUUGAGAAGACCAUGCCUGAAACUGGUUACCAAUAUUACACAACUAUGCUGUCCAAAUUCAAAACUGGGGUUGGAUCUGCAAUAUUCAUUCUCAAGCUUCAAGAUCAUUUACCAGGAUUAGGAAGUGACAUCAACUAAUAGGACACAAGAAUUGGGCUUAGAAAUGACUGGGAAUAAUGCUACACUGUGUCGUAAAUACACAAGGGCUGGAAGAGCCUACAUUCAGGAACCUUUUACUACACUUAAAAGGUUUCUUGUAUUUUGUACGUUAAUCUAACUGAUGUGGAUUUGUUAGAAGAUAUUCAACGGUGAGGAUGACCUGCUUUGCUCAUGUGCUUCUCCUCCUUGCUGCUGUUGUCCAAUGGUUGGGAUUCAUCCGAGUUCCCUUAACAAAUUGAAUGCAAGCUUCAGGAUAAAGAGAUGUGAUAAGUUAUCUUUUCUACACUUUGUUUCUUUAACAACCACUUUUUAAUUUUCAGAUCCUUCAGUAUUUCAGUAUAUUGUCCUGUCAAAGAAAAACGGAAAACUAAUCUUGGUUAACAUUUACUAAAUUGGAUGCUUUCCUUUUAUGGUGUUUUUGUGUUCCUUGACCUUCGUAAUGCAGGUUUCAAUUCAAGAUUUGUUUCUUAAGAACCUCUACAAAAAUUACUUAAUGUCAUAGCUACUUGUUUUUGACAGUGCUUCUGACAUUGAGAGCUGAAGUAGAUCUCAGAUAUAUUCACUGUUUUUGUUGAACCUAAACUGCGCAGGAUAAGUUUUAUAUGAUUUGACUUUGGGGCCUCCAAAAAACUGUGGCACAUCGGUGUGAUUUUUGUUGGCAUUUAUGACUUGGUCUCCUGUUAUUUGCUUACCCAGUCAUUUCUGCUUCCCUUUAGAUGAAAUUUGCAGUCUUUUUUAUUUUACGAAUCUACAUCAAUUUUUGUAAAUCUAGAUAUUUGCUGUAUCAAUCUUCUUGGGAGCCUUGCUAUCUUUCCGAGAUAGUGAUAUUCAGCUUGUUUAUUGAUUUUUUAGUGGGUUUAGGGUAGAGGGGUGGCUCAUAUUCUCAGGAGUUUGAAACUUGCACGUCAAUCUUGGUCAUCUACCAAAAAAUUUGUAGAUCUUCAUUCCUCAGCUAUGGAGGUUGGAAAUGCAGCUUUCACUGUUAAUCUUUGUAUUAUUCUAGAGAGUAGAGACUCAAGAGCUUUCGAGGAUACUUUUUUAUAUACCCUUUGUUUCAAAAGGUAUCAACUUACCUCCUUUAGGUUAGAGUUACUGAGUUAGUAUCUUUUCUAUUCUUUGAAGAAUGAGUGAAAUGUAUAUUAAUGAUUAUUUUCUUUGAUGAGUGGAGGAAGUUGGAGCACAUGUAAGCAGAGGACUGCGUUUGGUUCCUCUUAAUUUUUGACUGCAGACCAUGCUCUAGAUUAAACUUGAGAACAUUUGCACUUUUUAGGAUUACUGAAAAAUUUGUUUCAAUGAUUACAUUGUCUGAUUCUGUAGACAUUUUUCUAUGAGUUGGAUAGGAAGCUAUUGACUUCAAAUGCCAUGUCUUUGUGAAAAUCUCUGGUCAUUAUACUCGGUAUUUCUUCUUCAUUUACCAUAUGUAGGUUAAGAGAGGAGUGGUUUGACUUUGAUUUCAAAAAAAGAAGAAGAGAGGAGUGGUUUGACUUAUCGGCACAAAAAAAGAAAAAAAGGUGUGGUUCUUCUCUAAAUGUGCAAAACAAAGCAUGACAAGCACUCUGUCUCAGGCUUUAUAUUCCAUUAUGAGGUAUCAAUACCACAGUUUAUAUCAGUUUUGUGCUCCUUGCUGAAAGGAAGAAGGAUUUUGAGGGUUUAAGGCUUUCAAGUUUCAUUUGUUCACAUUGACUCUUAAGGUCCAUUAUAUAUUUUAGUUGGGUUGAUUAUAGCGAGUGAAUUAUGAAUUAUUACUUCUAAGCGAUUUUUUUGGUUCCAAUACAUCAAUAAAAGACAAUGCUAGAGAGUCUCUCUUUUUGAAUUAUGACGCCUUGAAACUCGAAUAGCUUCCAACUUAUUUUGGAAAUCUGUUCAUGACAUCAUUCAUGUUUUAGGAAAUACUCCACUAGCUAACAAGAUUCUCUUGCAUGUGUUUCACAUGAAAAUGGUUGUGUUCUUGACAAUAAUACAGGUUCUGACGUUCCGUGAAUUUUGGGCGUUAGUCUAUCUGAUAUGGAUCUGUUAGAAUUGCUUCAACAGAUUUUUUGGUGCUUGAAUUGCGCAUGACCUUCUACUUUUCUUAUUUUUAUUAUUCUCUCCAGUAUAACUCAAAAUGACAAUCAAACAUGUUAUAUCUUGACCUGAAAAACUGUUGCCUUGGCAAGGCAUCUGAAGUGGGUCUGUGAAAUUUUGGAGAAAGUUCAAUCCCAUGGUGUUACUUCUCUGUCUCGUAAGGCUAUCUGAUGCUUGAAUCCAUGGCAGGUUCCUAAGAUUUUGAGCUGCUUCGUUUUUUGACUUGGCAAAGUUCAGUUUAUUCCACCCCCCCCCCCACCUGAUCACCCUUUUCGUGAUAUCUUACCACUCCCUCUUUUCUUACUCUUAGUGCGCAGUCUGCUCUGUUUUAUACACAAUGAUUUGGAGGUUUUCAUCCUUCGAUGAUCAGUUAAUUAAAUAUGUUGCUUGUCGAGCUAAAGAACUCAUGCAAUGGCACUUCAGGGGGGUCUAUGAGAUUUUGGGCAAAGUUCCAUUUUGGUCUUUCUUCUCCGCCUCAUAGGCCAACUAAUGCUUGCAUAGCGUUUCAAAGCUUUUGAGCUAAUUGUUUUGGCGUUGCAAAGUUCAAUUUUUUAAUGCAUUCAAAAAGUUAAGUACAUGUAAACCAUUUGCAAGUCAGUCUUACAAGGGGAAUGUAAUAUAGUAUUGAUUGUAGUUGUUAAUACAAAAUUAGGAAGUGACAUCAACUAUUAGGACAUAAGAAUUGGGAUUAGGAAUUAUUGGGAAUAAAGCUACACUGUGUAGUGAAUACAUAACGGCUGGGAGAGAUUGCUCAUCAGAACCUUUUACUACACUUCAGAGCCUAUUUUCUUUAGCAUUCCUGUUCCUCCAUCUGAAGGAUAUAUACCUGUCUAAGUGUAGAAAACAAAGCAUGACAAGCACUUCUUCUCAGUCUAGUUAUUCCAUUCUGAGGUGUCAAUACCACCGUCCAUAUCAGUUCUGUCCUUGUUGAAAGCACAAUAGCUAACAAGAUUCUUUUGCAUGUGUUUUAUAAGAAAAUGUUUGUUUUCUUGAUGAUACAGGUUCCGUGUAUUUCUUUGACAGGUUAGUCCAUUGACACCUACUAGCUUUCAUAUUUCACUCCUCCAUUUGAUUAAAUCUAAUCUUUCUCAUAUGGAAUCUUGCUUAUGAUCUUGCUUAAAUGCUGUGUCAUGUUCUCUGAAUAAACUCCCCUGUUUUAACGUUACUGCCUUCAAUCAACGCCUUUAUUUUAUUCAUUCCCUCUCAUUUUUCUUUUGAUUCUACAUUAGCAAGAACUGGGGGAUAUGAACCUGAAGGUUUCCAGCGAAAUUCUGAAAGAUAGUGCUUUUAUUUUAGGCGAACUUUUAGUAUUCACUUCUAUUAGUUUUCCAUUUGAAUUCCCCUUACAUCAACAGCUUAUUCAAAGAUGAAGACAAAUGUAUAGUUGUUUACACUUUAAGCUACUCUAUGAGAUCAUUGUUUCAUGUAAUCCAUUCAGCACCAAGUAUCAAGCCUCAAAAAAUACCAGAUAAUAAAUCUGAUUAUUUUCUGAGAUUUGUGCAAAGAAGGAUGACAAGGUAAAGCUACAUACUAGAACAGUGUUACCGAGUCAUUGCCUUUUUUCUUAGUCCAAUAAUUUUAAAUCUUAACCACUACGGGAAUUUAUUUGAUAGAAUUUGAUUUUUAAAAAAUCUAUUUAAUAUGGUAUAUAACAUCAAUUUAAAAUGUACGUUACUUUGUGUUACAUAGGUAAUGAACUUUAUUAUUAGCUAAUGAGGGUCAAAGAUUCAUAUAACAUAAAAGAUAAUGCAUAAUUUUUUGAAAUAGAUUAUGUGAUGGCUUCAUUUCACUUUAGAACAUUUGUAUUAGUUAGACUUUGUAGGUGAUAGUGAUCUAACAAUGAUAAUCAGGAGGUGAUUGCUUAUGUGAUUAAACAUCAAGUGUUGUGUGAAAAUUGGGAAAUUAUAAAUAUUUAAGUUAAAUAAAGGAAUAUUAAAUGUUUUGAAAGUUCAAAUGAGAUUAUGGUUAGUAGAAACAGAUGUGCACAAUUCCUUUGGUCUAAAUUUUGCAACUUUGUAUGUGGAAAUAGUUGCUUGAAAAUUUAAAUAAAAUGAACAUGCAUCUCUAUUUAUAUGGUAACUUUAGUUAUGCCCCUCCCAUUAGUAAAGAUUUAUACAAACAUUAAUUGAUAGUGUAUUAGCAAAUCAUAUAUACAUAGAUUCACGAUGUAUUGCAACUAGAAACCUAGUCAUUGACAUUGAACUUGUAAAUCGAUUCAUAACCUUUCAGACACAACUAAUCUCUUUAUUUAUGUGAGACCAAAUGAGCGAUGAUUGAGACCCUGAACUCAAUUAGAGUGGGAAUUUGCUCCUAUUCGAUAACUCAUCAGGUUUAAUUUUCUUGACUGCCUUCAAAUGCAUGUUCUUAAUAUUUCAUAGAGCCUUUUUAAAAUUUUAUAGUAUGUUAGUGAAGAAAAGAUUGUGGGCUUAUCGUUUUGUUACAAUUGAAAUAAAUAUGUAUUAGAAUAAAAAUUUACAAAAGUUUAGUGUAUAAAUUAUGUAUUAACUAGUUUUUGGAAACCAAAAUAAGAUAGUUUUUUUACGCAUUUAUUUCUCAAAAAAACGCGUGUUAGAAUUCUAUAAAAUACGCUACCUGGGCAUUGUGUAAGUCAGGAAGUCAUGCUCAUACGCUACCAGCGGCGUACUCUGGCGCCAGAGUAAGCUGCGUAUGCCACCGACGAAGCAAAACUGUAAACCCUAAGUUAAUUUUCUCCAUGUAUCUGCGUCUUUCCUCCAUUAACUGUUUUGCGACAAUGUCAGAUUUUCUUUGAAUUCUUGCCUGCAUUCCUUUUAAGAAAAAAAUCAUGAACUUAUCUUUUUGAAGUUACACCCGUAUUUUUAACGCAUAUUUACAGGAAAUAAUGAAAUUGUUAUUUUCAAGAAUAUGUUGACAUUGCAAAAAUCAAGAAAUUCAAGAAAUCUUUCUUUCUCCAAAAAAUUCUGUUGUUUUUUUCGUACUGUGUUGAAGAUGUCCUAGAAUAUGUUUUUGAGGCUGUUUAUCUUGUAUGAUUUCAGAAGGGUUGUUGAGGAGUUGGUUUCCAACAGCCGCAUGUAGGAAUUGAAUGUUGUGGAGUUGUUCUUGAAGUCUAUACUCACACAACUUUUAAAGAAACAUAGGAUUGCAUGCAUUACUCAACUGAUAGGCCGUUCUGACGGUUUGUGUUCAUUGGUUUGCAUAUAUAAUCCGGAAGCCCAAUGAGGGUUUUGCAUUCUCUGAAAGAGUCUCUGCUAAGAAUCUCCCUUGUGCAUCCCACUGUCUCCUUCAAAAUUGUUGACAUUGAAAGGCCUGUCUCUGUUAUACUAGCUAACUGAAGGAUAUGUCCUAUCUGGUUUCUUAGAUUUUGUAAGUUUGUGUGCAGUGAGGAUGAACUUCUUUGCACACAUGCUUCUCCUUCUCUCCGUUGCCGCUAUUGUCCACUGGGAUUUUCAUUCCUCUGAGUUCCCUUAACAAAUUGAAUUAAAUUGAAUUCAACAGAUGGUUCAUUCAAGCUCUCGGCAGGUCUUGAUGUUUACAUAGUGAAUGUAUACGGGCCCAAAUGAAUGGAUAAGAGAUGUGAUAAGUUAUCUUUUUUACAUUUUGUUUCUUUAACAACCACUGUUUAAUCUUAAGAUUUGGUUAACAUUUACUAUAAUCUGGAGAUCAUGUUCUCAGGGUACCAUGUGUCUUGGAUCAAGAAGAACGUAUUUUCAAGUCAAAGAUCUAAAUCUGCAGAACUGCAUGUUUUGAUUAUUUGUUCUUGCUGAAGUUGAGCUGGAAUAUACGUAUUCAUGCUUAGCGACAUCAAACUGCUAUUCAGAUGUUAUGCAUGCUUUCCCAGCAAGCUUUGGCUUGAAAGGAGAGGCUCUGAACUGAGUUGACCUUUCUUUGUUGGAAAUUGUUACUAAAACUCAUGGGAACGAAAGGAUGGCAUGUGUUUGUACCUUGGAAUUGAUGAUUGUAGAUUUAAGAAUUAUUGAUACAAUGAGCUAUGCUCUUCUCUACAGUGGAUGGGGACUUGCAUAAAUGGAUUGAUACUGAAAAUCGAGCGUAGGAAGUUCUUUGCCAUUAGUGAGUCUGCAAGAAGGAAGCAGGAAAUAAUAAUAUUAAGACUGUUAAUGAUGUGCCACUCAUGCCAGAAACUAGAGCUCUAAGGGGACUGCAUCAUUUUGUAGAAACUAUCUGGUCGGAGCUUCCAUGGCAAUCCCAUAGAUGCCAAGUGCGAAAAUAAAACUUAUUAACAUCUGAAUAACAAAUUACAAGGUAAAGGGGAGUGCACAAGUCCACACGAUGGGGAGUCAAAAUAAGGUUAAGAGAGGAGUGGUUUGACUUAUCGCCAUGUGAAAAAAAAAGGUCAGGUGGGUAAGGUGUGGUUCUCCUCUUUACUGAGUAUACAGUCGCGAUUCUCUAGACUCAAAGUAAUUCUGCCGAUAUACCUGUGAAUUAAGAGAUAUACCUGAGCUACACUGGAUCUCCUUCCAUGCAGCCAAAGAAACUGAUUGGAGUGUGCACUGUCAGGAGAGAGAUUGGAUCUUUGCAGAAUAUUCUGUGAGGAAGUGCUUCUGAAAAGCGUGAUCUCUGAGUCCGGAUUCCUCAGUCAGAUAGAAAGUUCAAGUCGGUCUCUUGCUUAUCGCACAGUUGGUGUAAACUGGAAAUUCAGAAGCUCUGCGGCAACCCCUUCAAUCUAAUGUUUUACCUACAGAGGAUAAUUUAUUGGAUAGCAGCUUUCUGGUUAAUAAAUUCAAUGCUUCAGCUAUAAAUCAGACUUCCUGUUAGGUUGAAGGAUGAGUCUGAGACAAUUGUAGCUGCCGGAUCAACAAAGUAUUGUCCCCUUUAGGAAGUCUCUUGAACUUGAUGACAGGUCAAAUGUGAUGCAUAAGAGAAGGAAACGAUUUAUGCAGAGCUGUUCUUUGCACAAAAGGCUGGUACAUGAUGGACCGUCUUUUGAUAAUGUUGAAUUUUAUUUUUUUUGGAAACUGGUAACUAUAAUGGUGAAAUUUUUAUGCUUGUUCUAAACUGGAUAUGCGCAGUAUAGAAGGACUGGAUCCAUGAGAUGUUUAUCGUUCAGGUGCUUCUGAAUUGUGUUAUGAUUGAGAUGAUUUGUUACAUGUACAUUCUCAUGAUGAAAAAAAUCUCAGGAGGUGGAUCAUCAAAAAAAUCUUAAGAAUUAUUUGAUACCACAAGCUAUGAUCUCCUCUAGUGUGGAUGCGGACUCGUAUAAAUGGAUUGAUGCUAGAAAUCGAGGUAAGACAGAUGAGCUUAGAAGUAAGAAGUGUAUAAGAAGUCAUUCAGCUCCCCCUCCAUUUUGCCACAAGUGAGUCUACAAGAAAAGCAGCAGGAAAUAAAAAUAUUAAGGCAAGAAGAAGUUUAUGAUGUGCCACUCAUGCCAGAAACUAGAACUGUAAGGAGAUUGCAUCAUUCUGCAGAAGCUAUCUGCUCUGAGCUUCCACAGCAGUCAUCCCAUCAAUGUGAUCUAUCUUCCACCCCAAGUUGUGGUGACAGUGUAUUCUCUCCUGUAAGAGUGGUACUGAAACAGAGAGUCUACCAUUGAUAAAACCUGCCUAGACGGUGCCAAAGUUCUCCAACUGGUAGAUAAGAAGUUCAGAUUUGGUUAACAUUUACUAUUAUCUAUAGACCAUGUUCACAGGGUUCAAAAGUGCAUAUGGGUGGUAGCAUGCGUCUUGGAUCAAGAAGAACGUAUUUUCAAGUCAAAGAUUCUACAUUUGGUAGUUGUUUCUAAAACUUACGGGAGGCUGAAUGGAUAUCGUAAGGUUUUGAAGGACGGCAUUUGAAGGUUGACAAGUGUUUGUACCUUGGAAUUGAUGAUUGUAGACAAAAUCUUGGUAUAACAGUGUGUUAGAAUCCACAUUGUUUGGAGAACGAAAAUCCACAAACUCUGCGCACCCCCUUACAUCUAAUGCUUUACCUACAGAGGAUGAUUUACUGGAUAACAAAUUCAGUGCUUCAGCUAGAUCCAGUUAUAAAUCAGACUGCCUGUUAGGUUCUGGAUUAGAGGAGUCUUAAACAAUUGUAGCUGGCAGAUCAACAGAGGAUGCCUCAUUUUAGGGAGUCUCUUGAACUUCAUAAGAUUCAAAUGUGAUGCAUGUGAGAAGGAAAGCAUUUAUGUGGAGCUGUUCUUUGCACAGAAGCCUGAUAUGAUCAUCUUAUCGAUUUCUUUAAACAGAUUGCUGAAAAAUAUGGUUCUGGCCUGCCAUCUUUUAGUUGAGACUGUCUCCUCUGCCACCAUAUCCUGAGUGUGCUAUUGUGAAGUCUAACUCUGAGCAUGAAGUUAAUAUGUUUUGAUUUGGUUAAAGCAGGACUUGAUUCUGAUUCACAAGCUGCCAACAUCUGUCACACUUCUUGCGGUUUCUUGCUCCACUCUGAGGUAUCAAUAACAGUUUAUAUCAGUUAUGUGCUGCAUCUUGUUGAAAGCAAGAAGGAAUUUUGAGGGUUUAAGCCUUUCAAGUGUCAUUUGUGGCGCUUUGUCUCUUAAGAAAUGGAGAGUGUCAUAGGGUGCUUUAUCUUUUGUUCCAUCACAUUGUGAUCGUCUGGGAGUGUAUAUUCUUAUGUAGAAACUGAGGCCCAUGACAAAAUGAACCAUGCUGCAGAUGAGUGAAUUCAAUCGUUUGAAGAACUGCUUGAGUAGACCAUGCCUGAAACUGGUUACCAAUUAUUACACAACUAUGCUGACCAAAUUCAAAUGGGGUUAGAUCUGCAACAUUCAUUCUCAAGCUUCAAGAUCAUUUACGAGCUUGCUGAUGCAGAUGGAUCAUCAACAGUACCCUAUCAGUGAAUCGGGUCUUGAAAAAACAAGGUGCAAUUAUGUAUGCUGAUGCAUUGUUGUCUUCCGAAUGUUCCUCAUUGUUGAGGAGUUGAAGCAGAUUCCAUUGUGUUUUCAAGUGAGUCGAAAAUUGCAUUUAAGGAAAUAUCUGCGUUGGAACUGCGUUUGAUGUGAGGAUGACCUGCCUUUGCACACGUGCUUUUUCUUCUCCUUGCCGCUGUUGUCCAAUGGUUGGAAUUCAUUCGAGCUCCCUUAAUAAAUUGAAUGCAAGCUUUCAGGAUAAAGAGACGUGAUAAGUUAUCUUUUCUACAGUUUGUUUCUUUAAAAACCACUGUUUAAUUUGCAGGUCCUUCAGUAUUUCAGUAUAUUGUCCUGACAAAGAAAAACGGGAAACUAAUCUUUGGUUAACAUUUACUAAAUUGGAUGCUUUCCUUUUAUGGUGUGUUUGUUUUGCUUCGUAAUGCAGGUUUCAAUUCAAGAUUUGUUUCUUAAGAACCAAUACAAAAAUUACUUAAUAACAUAGCUACAAGUUCUGACAGUGUUUUUGACAUUGAGCAGCGAAGUAGAUCUCAGAUAUAUUCACUGUUCUUGUUGAACCUAAACUGCCCAAGAUAAGUUUUAUAUGAUUUGACUUUUCGGCCUUCAAAGAACUCUGUGGAACAUAGCUGUGAUUUUUGUUGGCAUUUAUGACUUAGUCUCCUGUUUUUUGCUUACCCAAUUAUUUCUGCUUCCAUUAAGAUGAAAUUUGCAGUUUUUUUUUUUUACGAAUCUACAUCAAUUUUUGUAAAUCUAGACAUUUGCUGCAUCAAUCAUCUUGGGAGCCUUGCUAUCUUUCCGAGAUCGUGAUACUCAGCUGUACUGUGAUUUUUAAGUAGGGUCAGGGUAGAGGGGUCGCUCAUAUUCUCAGGAGUUUGAAACUUGCAGCUAUGGAGGUUGGAAAUGCAGCUUUGACACUGUUGAUCUUUGUAUUAUUCUAGAGAUUAGAGACUCAAGAGCUUUUGAGGAUACUUUUUUAUGUACACUUUGUUUCAAAACGUAUCAACUUACCUCCUUCAGGUUAGAGUUACUUUGUUAGUAUCUUUUCUGUUCUUUGAAGAAUUAAAAGAGUGAAAUAUAUAUUAAUGAUGAUUUUCUUUGAUGAGUGGAGGAAGUUGGAGCACAUGUAAGUAGAGGACUGCGUUUGGUUCCUCUUAAUUUUCGAGGACCAUGCUCUAGAUUAAACUUGAGAACGUUUGCACUUUUAGGAUUACUGAAAUUUGUUUCACUGGUUACAUUGUCUGAUUUUGUAGACAUUUUGCUAUGAGUUGGAUAGGAAGCUAUUGACUUCAAUGCCAUGUCUUUGUGAAAAUCUCUGGUCAUUAUACUCUGUAUUUCUUCUUCAUUUACCAUAUGUAAGUUAUGAGA